GUGCGAGAGAGAAGGAAUAGUUACAAGAGUUGAAUUAUGCAGGAGAGAACGGGUCAUAUGCAGACUUAUAUGCAGACUGUUUGAGCGGAUCAUUAGAUGGAGUUGAGAUAACAUUUUUGUUACUUGCAUUAGGAGUGACUUUUGUGGAUAGAUGGAGUUUAAAUUAUAAAUUGGAUGAUAAAUAUUAAGAAUAAAUACUAAGAGUUUUUUUCUUUUUUUUCCUGAAGAUGGCCCUAGAGGAGAUGAGAGCAACUCACAUUGUCAAUGAGUCCACAAAAAAGACCCCUGUCCUUGGACAACACUCACCAUGGUUCUGUCCUGCAAGACGGUUCAUCAGAAGCCCUUCAGCCAGAGUGGGAGGAGCAGCUCUCCCACCAGGUGUGCCCUCAAGGCAAAGGUGACUUACCUGCGCACACCUGCGAAGGCCUCACAGAAGGGAUGCAUGGCCACAGCUCUGGGGUUAUUAUGGAGAGGCAGUUAGGAAAGAUCUGAGGACAGGAAGUCACAGGCAAGAGGAAGCCACCCCACAGCAGCACCUCUGUGAAGGGGUUUGAUGCUUCAGUUCAAGAAGACAUCAUCGUAUUUCCUACAGGUAAGGGCAGGAUGUGCUCUUGGUGUCCCACUCAGAGUUGAGUAGCGGGCUGAGUGAGGAGCACCAGUCCACCUUGGGAACACUUAGCAGGUGGUUUCUUUCUCAGCGUUCUCUGGACCAAAUGGAGACACAGAAGUCUUCCUGAAACCGGGGACUGCUAAGUACAGUGCUACACUUGCCAUCUUCCUGUUCCCUUCACCCACUCCACAGUGCGGAAUUCACAUUUUAUAUUCAUUUCUUAUCUUUGCUUUCCAACCCCCAUCUCUUCUUAAAAAAAUAUUCAUGUCAUUAACAC
rnacentral:lncRNA from 1 species